AAGGUGGGGAGUGACGUCAAAUCAUCAUGCCCCUUAUGACCUGGGCUACACACGUGCUACAAUGGUUGGUACAACGAGUUGCGAGUCGGUGACGGCGAGCUAAUCUCUUAAAGCCAAUCUCAGUUCGGAUUGUAGGCUGCAACUCGCCUACAUGAAGUCGGAAUCGCUAGUAAUCGCGGAUCAGCACGCCGCGGUGAAUACCGGUUCCCGGGCCUU
rnacentral:rRNA from 1 species